GUGCGAGCUCGGCUUAGGCAGCGUCUCGGUGGUGGUGCCUUUAAGCCUGUGUGACAUUACCCUGGAGCCAGGACGGGGACAGGUUCUGUGGGUGUGAUGGUCAGGGCCUUCCCUUUGGGGUGCUCCCCAGGGACAGAUUGAACACUAUAGGCACAUGUAUUUUUGCGUGUCUACACGUUUUGGAAGGUAGUUUUCCUUAUGGACUGUUCAUAUGAAAGUAUUAUAUAAAGAACCCGUAACUGCUAUACAGGUGCUUGGCAGGUGAGCAUGGCCCUGGCACAGCCCACCAAGGCCAGCCUGGCAAAGAAGGGGCAGCAGGCUCUGGUCCAUGGCAGAUGGGGCUGCACCAGGGUGGACAGGAUGGAAGGGGACAGAAAACUCACUGGGAUUAGCUCCUGGGCAGGAGAAAUCCACUGGCAGGGACACAUCUUGCAUCUUGCUCAGGCUCUGCAGUAAUACCACCUAUCACACUCAGCCAAAGCAUUAAGGCCUUCAAAAUGUGACUAUGGCAGGUUUUCUCCUAGGAGUUAUAAAUCUGUUUUCAUUACAGCUUUAUUCUUCUAAUUCCUGUGAUAUUUUCCUGCUGGACAUUGUGUCUUCAGAAUAAAACAAGCAGUGGGACGGAGCAGGUCACCAAACCUGCUAUCUGGCAGCAGCACCCAAUAUAUUUGGUGGUAACCUCUGUGCAAGGCUGGAUAAAUGUAGUGUUUCUACCUUCCCUGCCAAGUGGCUGAGCUCUUUGACAAAGUUCACUUAUGUCAGCUGUCCUUUCCAGUUCCAGUCAAUUGGUUUGCAAGCAGAGCAUGAGGAUUUCUGGCUGACUGGUUUGGAUAUACAGGCUAAUCUUCAUCGUUUCACAGUCCAGAAAACUUUUGGAGAGAGCAUUUUGGCCUAAGGCAAGAUUGUAUCUCACAAACUUCUUCCCAGUAUUCACUGCUGGGUAAUCCAAUGAAUUCUGUGGCAUGGAACAAAACCAGGAAACUGGACAACUCCUGCAUCAGAAAAUCAUAUGUGGCUAGAAGUGAAACCAGCAAUGAAUACUACAUUGAUGUUUUCAGUUCCCAGUUUGCAAGAAGAUCCUUCAUCCAAAAAGCUGAGAAGUAACAACAGCAUCUUCCUUCACAACCAUGCAUAUGCAUCUAGUUUCAACGGAGUUCCACCCAAAUAGAAGAGGAUUCAGAGAGUAAAUGGAGUUCUGCUGUUUUUCUGCCUUCUGAUACUAAGUAUUUUUUACCUUUGGUAGAUUAUUCUGCUGGACUCCUGGUGUCAGAACCCAUCUCUCAUUUGGCCACGUUUACUUUUGAUUGACAUCUUUUAGCCACAGUUUCUUCUGGAAAAUAAUGCACUCCCAGUGCUAAUAAACUGGAGAUAAAGAGGUGUGACCUACUUACCUGGCCCUGAGGAAAGAGGGAAUUUUAAACUCCACUGUUGUAGGAAAGAAGGGAUUUCACCAUUACUCGCAUUACCUAAAAUGACUCAUUCAAAAGAUAAGACAGCCUGUUUAAAUCUUGACUUGGUUAUCACUACCACACCCUCUACUUUCUUAUUUACAUGGAUGUAGAAAUAUUUCUAAACAUUUCCUUUAUCAGGUGAUGCUAAAGCAGAUGAUAUAUAAAAAGCCCUCUUUUGUGGGAACAGUAAAAACUGGUCUUACUGCAAUAAUUCUUUUUUUUUCUUUUUUAACUACCCUUUCGGACAGACACUUCACUUACUGUAAAUUUCACAGAACUUAUCUAUUAUGUAGGAGAAAAGCUGUGCAUUUUAACCUUGUGCAGUAUUUUAGAUAGAUCUUGUGUUUAAAUUUAGUCCUAAGGAUUGUAGUGAAGUAGGACAAAGAACUCAUCAGACAAGAAGUAAUUCAGCCAAUGGCCUGUGUAGCUUGGUUUAAAACUCAUCAUUCUCUUUCUACUGUUGGAGGGUCAAUAACAGCUGGUUGAAAUGCACCAUGUUUAUUAAACAGACCAUUUGCAGAGGGAACAGUGUAUGCUUUUUAUACCCUACCUACUGAGAAGGGAAGCAAAUGAAAUGAAAAUGUCUCCUGACACUAUCCACUAACUUGGACAAAUCACUUUUUCAGCUUUUUGUCUGCAUUUCCCUUCAUGUCUUUGAGCCCUGUAAAUUCUUUGGGUUAGUCAGUGCAGAUGGAAAACCAAGAAAAGAGUUCAUUCAUACUUUGUACUUAAAUCUCAGCUGAAUCUGCUGCAUCCUACUGCAAUAAUCUCUAACAGAAAUCCUGGUUAUGGUGAAAUUACAGUGCCUGGAGUUGUUCCCCAGGCUUCCCCUGACUUGGCCAGAAAGCUGCCAUGGUGGCCAAAGAUUCAGAGGUUCUGUAACCAGCUUAUGCAAGGUUGAGGAAUUGGCUUCUGGGGGUGUGAUGCAUCCCUCUGCUAAUUAAAAGCACAUGUCCACACAAGGAAUGCAGCUCUUCAAACGGGAACUGUAUGUAAUUAUGAAAGCAGUAGGAGAUAAGAAUAAUUGUUUUCAGUUUUAGAUAUCCUGUCUUCCUCAGCACUGCAGGAAGAUUAAGUGAAAGUCGAGGAAGGCAAUAACAAAGUUCACAUGCACAGCAGGAUAACUGAUGUGGACCAAAGUAAAAGUAGGAUCUAACAGAGUUCAAAGAAUAUUCCCGUCCAUAUUCCCAGCCACCAAAGAGGUUUCUCACAGUCGUUAUAAGCACAUCCAUUUCAUGAGCCUGAUUACCCACAGAGUGGCUGGAUUGCACAGCUAUCAACCAACUGGGCUGUAAACUGUGUUAAUGAGAGGGGAGCUAGAGCAUUUUAUGUGAAAUUAUUUGCUUCUCUGGCUUAACUGGCUUUGGGCUCCUUUUGGACUCCAUUCCUCAUCACAAAACACAUUCACUGCAUGGCAUGGUAAGGACAAGUUAUAAGAUAUUAAACAUGUUGGAAGGGCACUUUCUGAAAAUGUCAUGAAAUGCAGUAAACUGAUGUGUUGUGUCCAUGUGUGGGCUUAGGGAUAAAAUAAAAUGCAGAUUCAGUGGAGGGUUAGGGAAAAGGCAAGAAAAACUAAUUGAAUAGGGAGCCCACAAGAGCUGUACUUUGCCAGAUUAGUGAGUCACUGUUUGCUACGCUGUUGAAGCCCAGGAGACUUAAAAAGUUAAAAACUUUAAACCAGGAGUUAAAAACUCAGAAGAAGCCAUGAAGUAUUGCAAGUGUGUUUCAGUCAGCAGAGCAAUACCAUUGUUCAAUUUAGCAAAACUGCUCUCUUGGUGGGUGCCAUGGGUUCCAGAAUCGCAUACGCUUCUUGCUUAUCAGCCCAGCUUCGGGCUGCACUUCCCUCUAAGCAGCUGUGUUUAGGCUCCAGGGAGGAGAUUUUGUCAUUUAGGGCAGGUCCUAAAGGGGAACUAUGUAUCAGUGAAGCCAGGCAGUCCAAAACUGUGAACCUGUAACCCCUCAUUGCAGCUGUUGCUCAGCCCUGAAGUUUCCUCAGCUGUUUGCACUGAAUUUAUACAGGUGCUGAAUGUGCUGCUCUGGGUUUGUCUGGUCCUUCUUUCCUUACAUCCUUGGAGAGCUGUGCUCAGAGCACAGCAGAACCUUAAAAGGCAGAGGUAGUCAGCCAUCCCUUUUUUUAAAAGGCCAGAGGGCUGGUGCCCAAGUUGUUUUAAACCCUUCAGUGCCUGAGUGCUACAAACCCAUCCUUCUAGGGGAGAGCCCACUGAUGUCUCAGCACUAGAGACGUCAUCCCCAUCACUUUUCAUUGCAGCUUUUAUACUUCACAGCAAGAGAUAAGAAUUGUGUGAGGUCUAGGAGAGUGUAUGACUUUUUAGCCUGUUGAUAGCUGUAUUUGUACAGAAACAUUAAUUCUAAGCCCAGCUUCUGUGCUUGUUUAUGUGUAUUAGAAUUGCUCCUAAAAAAGAAUCAGUUUUGUGAGAUAUCUUAUGUAAAACUUUCAGUAUUUUAUGUAACACUUUCGGUAAUGAAGUUGGCAUGGAAAAAUAAAAAUGUACUAGCAGAGCUGUGGAUGGUGUAAGCCUGGGAGGGAAGUUCUCUGUCAGUGUAGGAGGACCAAAUACUAGACUGGAAGGACUAGAAAGGAACUGAUGUAAUAGGAAUGGGGUGAAAUUUAGGUCAUGCACACAUGUGCUAACAGCAAGAAUUUCUGAUAUAAAGUAAAAAAUGAAACUGAUACUGGAGAAGAAAACAGACAUCCUGAACCAUCAGAAGAAAAUUAUAAAAUGAUAGUGUUUCUAGUAGGCCAUGAAAAUACUUGUACUUCCAUGGAAGAAGCUGGUAAGACAUCUGAAAAAAUGAUUGAAAAUAAGCCUGUGAGAGCUGAAUUUCUCCCUCUUAGGGCAUUAGAGGGUUAAUUACCAAAAGAAAGAAUAGCUGCUUCAGCCAGAUACUUGUCCAUGUGUAAUUGUCUAUGAAUCCAUGCAGCUAAAAACAAGGUUCCUAAAUAUCAACAGAAUAAGGUUUGUUGUCUCCAACAGGAGGAAUAGGAAACCUGGGUUUUUUGUUGAGGUGGAACUUGUCAAGUCCAAUAAAGAUAUUACAGACACAGCUGCUUGCCUUGGGAAGGACCAGACAAUGGUCCAAGAGCUGCUGCCUAAUGAAGCUCCCCUCAGAUACAGUAUGUUUGUCAUUUCUGCUCAAAUGCUGAUGUAUUUGAUGGGAGCACCAGCGAGUGGGGGGAAAAAUGGACAGUUUCUUGCAUAAAGCUGUGGAGCUUUUCCAGAACCUGGUUGCUUUGUCUGGAGGAGAUGAACCCUUGGCAGGGUCUCCAUCACUGGGCAGCUCUUAAUACACAGGAUGAAAACCUGGCCCCUGUGAAGUUGAUGGAAGUUUUGCCAUUAAUUUCUGUGAGGCCAGGAUUUCACCCUGGAAAGGGAGUCAAAAGUACAUGCAUGCUUUCAGAGACAGAGUGGCUGAUUAAAUACAUCUGGUGCGCUGUUCUUUUAUCAAUCAUUGAUAAAAUAGUGUCUUUUAAAUAUAAACUUCGGGUGAGCUUAACUGCAAAAUUUAAACAUGUCCUUUUACAAGACUUAAAAGCAUAAUUUGUCUGUUUUUUGUCUGAAAUAACAGAAAUCCUGGUAAAAAAAUUAACACGCAUCCACACCCAUCCACUCCAAACCCCUGUAGUAUUUGAUGUGCUGCAGAAGUGAGCCAUUAAAGCUCAGAAAAGCCAGUUAAAAUAUUUCUAAAUGAUACAUAAAACUUUAUCCUCUAAGAAUGCCAUCCGAAGCUAUGUUCCUCCUCCUUUAAUUCCUCAGCAGUUGAGCUAGGGGUUGAUCUGAUUUCGGCAGGGACUGUGCUUUCAAGUGACCCAGCACGGCCCCGUGUGACACCCCAGGGAGCUCAGGACAGGCACUGACCCUCACCCACAGCGCUGCGGGAUGUGGCCGAACACCCAUCACGGGGCUGGGUGUGCACAAGGGCCCAGGGGCUGUAACAGGGCACAGGGGCUGUAACAGGGCACAGGGGCUGUAACAGGGCACAGGGGCUGUAACAGGGCACAGGGGCUAUAACAGGGCACAGGGGCUGUAACAGGGCACAGGGGCUGUAACAGGGCACAGGGGCUGUAGCAGGGCACAGGGGCUGUAACAGGGCA